AGGACACUGGACAGAACAGAGACACCAAGCCUGAAGACAAAUAAAAAAGAAAGAAAAGACGACAGGGAAGGCGUCAAGUGAGUGUAAUUAAGCUGAGUGUUAACACCUACUUCAAGGGGACUCGAAAACAAGUGACCUCAAGGAAUCAUCUAGAAAUUUCUCACACUAAGACUUGAGAUCUUGUAUUGUCUUCUGGACAGGAUAUCAUCAUAUACUGUAAGUUCAUUAUGGAGACACUACAGUAUAGAUGAUGUACUAUCCAGGGUGGCAUUCCUCCUUCUGUGGGAUAACACACACACACACACACACACACACACACACCACACACACACACACACACACACACAAACACAGUCUGUGACUGAGGGAGGCGAUGAAACCGUUACCAUUACUGAGUUUAGUAAUGGUAAGGGUUCUCUUGCCUUUCCUCACUGGCAUCAACCAUCAAAACACCGAAAGUAAUUAACUUGAAUAUGAAUAUUUAGUGAAUUUGUAUAAAAUGUAUUUGCACAAUAUUGCCAUGACUGCAUUGUACUUCUUUCUUCUUCUUUCUAUACUGUAUAUAUGUAUAUAUUUAUUGUAACAUACAGCUAGACCAUACACAGUAUUCUUCUAAAUUUGUAAUCAAUCAAGCAUUUUUAAAAGUUCGGUAUUUAUGAUUAAAUUGUCAUAAAAAUAGUGUGUCGAUAUAGUAACUACUUUCAGUGUAUAAAUGUAUUAUGCCUUGUUCAAUCAAUUGAUUAAUCUCAUGUUGUAUUGGGUGCCUUAAGGAAGGAUUUGGCAACGUUGACCGAGUCAAAAUAAUAGCAAAUAUUACAUGCUAAGAAUGUUAUCUAUAUUGUAUGUACUUGGGAACAAUAAAAAUAUCCACCUGCAUCAAUAACUUUC